rnacentral:misc_RNA from 1 species
GAUGAAGAACGUAGCGAAGUGCGAUAAGUAGUGUGAAUUGCAGAAUUCAGUGAAUCAUCGAAUCUUUGAACGCACAUUGCGCCCCAUGGUAUUCCGUGGGGCAUGCCUGUUCGAGCGUCAUUUACCCCCUCAAGCUCCGCUUGGUGUUGGGCGUCUGUCCCGCUUCGCGCGCGGACUCGCCCCAAAGGUAUUGGCAGCGGUCGUGCCAGCUUCUCGCGCAGCACAUUGCGCUUCUCGAGGCACCGGUGGGCCCGCGUCCAUCAAGCUCACCCCCCCAGUUUGACCUCGGAUCAGGUAGGAAUACCCGCUGAACUUAAGCAUAUCAAUAAGCGGAGGA